GUGAGUCAUCGAAUCUUUGAACGCAUAUUGCGCUCUUUGGUAUUCCGAAGAGCAUGCUUGUUUGAGUAUCAGUAAACACCUCAACCUCCUCUUGUUUUUUCAAAAGGAGGGUGGACUUGAGCUAUCCCAACAACCUUCACCGGUAGGCGGGCGGCUUGAAAUGCAGGUGCAGCUGGACUUUUAUCUGAGCUAAAAGCAUAUCUAUUUAGUCCUCGUCAAACAGGAUUAUUACUAUUGCUGCAGCUAACAUAAAGGAUAAUUGUCCUCAUUGCUGACUGAUGCAGGAUUUUACGACACUUUAUGUGUUGUUCAACUCGAUCUCAAAUCAAGUAAGACUACCCGCUGAACUUAAGCAUAUCAAUAAGCGGAGGA
rnacentral:misc_RNA from 1 species